rnacentral:rRNA from 1 species
GACGAACGCUGGCGGCGUGCCUAAUACAUGCAAGUAGAACGCAGUUGCGAACGGGUGAGUAACGCGUAGGUAACUGCCUCAUAGCGGGGGAUAACUAUUGGAAACGAUAGCUAAUAUCGCAUACUGUGAGAUGGGCCUGCGUUGUAUUAGCUAGUUGGUGAGGUAAAGGCGUGCCAAGGCGACGAUACAGAGCCGACCUGAGAGGGUGAUCGGCCACACUGGGAAUGAGACACGGCCCAGACUCCUCAGGAAGGCAGAAGUAGGGAAACGUCGGCAAUGGACGGAAGUCUGACCGAGCAACGGCGCGUGAGUGAAGAAGGUUUUCGGAUCGUAAGGAUUUGUUGUUAGAGAAGGGGUAACUAACCAGAAAGGGACGGCUAACUACGUGCCAGCAGCCGCGGUAAUUC